ensembl:lncRNA
UCCAGGGGCAUAUAACCCCUUCAUCAGUCAGAGCCAUUAUGUUUCAUUCACUGUCAACUUUGAUUUUGUAAGGGGACAUUCUCUGGGACUCAGAGCUCCACCCUGCUUGGUUGCCCCUUGUCCUUCAGUUCAUUCUAGACCCUGGUGGCUUUUUCUCUACUUUCUAAUUUGUCUUCUUCCUGGGGGCUUGAAGGAUAAAAGGAGGUAGAUAUGGGCAGAAGAUGGAAGAUUUCAGCGGUGAACAGGGACAGAAAGGAAGAGGAGAGAAAUGCACAGGGUAGAGAAAUGCAUGAUGUGAGGAACACGCAAAGGAAGAGAAAAUUCAUGCAGGAUGGGGGCAGGGGAGGAAUCGGGGUGAUUCAUGAAAAAUUGGGAGAAUGAAACAAAGUAUGAGUUAAUAAAUAAUGAUACAGAAGGAGACAGGGAGAGAAAGGAUAGACUAUUUCUCAAGAGGAAGGUCAACAGAAAAAGCAAUAUGAAAUGAAUAAAUACAGUGUUAAGGUGGGGGAAGGGAGGAACUAAAGAAUAAGAUGAGGUGGGAAAACAUGGUACAAAGAAGGGGAAUGGAAGGCAAAAAGAGGACUGCUGAAGCAGAUCAGAGCUGCACGGAGCUUGGUACGGAAGAGGAGAGGAUGAGGUAUCAAAGGAAACAAAUGCCUCUGGAGUGAGAAGGACACAGCAUGAUGGAUGCAAAGAGAGCGCCGCAGGAGGGGCAAUUUGGAAAAAAGGCAGAGCAGAAAUACCAUUGGGCGAAUCCCCAAAAGAGAGGGAUGCCAGAGGAGAGGAGAGGAAAUGCAAAGAUAUCUGGUGAAGAGGAGAGAUUUGGCUCAUUCUGUUGGCCAAAUUCUUCACUAAGCUACUGGAGGCCUUUGCAUUUCAUUCCCAAGCCAGGGCAACAGUGAGCACAGAGAUUAAAAAAACACUAGAAAUUCCCAUUUACUUUAACUGAUAGGAACUGGAAUCUUUCUAGCCCCUGAGCACCAAAGACCUACAGCCUCUGAUGUCAUAAAUUGCUGGUGUUGCCUUGGCAACCUGACAGGGUUCCUCCCUCCAUGAUGUCAGAGCAGCGGGUGUUACCUUAAAACCCACAGAGGAACAACUUGCUGCUUUGCUGGGGAUCUGUACACAUAUUGGCGAGGGCCAUAGUCAAAUCUGUAGGAUUCCUAGGUUGGUAGCUUGACCUUGCCUCCCUGCAGCUAUUCUUAGCUCUAAAUGAAGUCUUGUUUGUGGGCACCUGAGGUUCACUAGAGCCUGCAGGAGCAAAAGGAAACAUCUCAGGAGACCGGGGCAUUGAGGAUGGGAUGGUAGGACUGAAAGACAGGCAAAGAAGGAAGAGAGUGGAAAUGGGCAGUUACAGAAUGUGAAAGGAGAAGGGCUUUGUGAGCAGGAAGGAGAGUUACUAAAAAUUUAAGAUGUAGCUCGCUUUGGGCUUUGGGUUUAGGAAUAGACACGAAGCUGGAAAUGCAGAUUAGAGGGGAUAGGAGCCAUGUGAGAGCCGUGUGAAGCAGAGAUACAGAAAAAGGAAGGAUCUUGAAUGGAACUUGGCUGUGAAGGUAAAAGUGGGG